CAAACUUUCUGAUUUUUUUUAAAAAACUUUCCUAAAUUUAACAAACAGUUAAGGUUUACUUUAUUACUAAGUGGAACUUAUUUGAAUAUAUGGAUGAACUGAAGCAGUAAACUAUACUUUUUUUUGCAAUGUGAGAUGGAGAAAAUGAAAGAAAAGUGAUUGUCAUGUAUGGCAAGGAAAACUACAACCAGACUACAGGAUGAUGUUCUUUGGAAUAUGUUUUGUGUUAUAAGGAAGGAAAAACAAUCAGCAUUCAAAAGUAUAUAUUAAUUGUUCAGCAAAGCAAUGUCAUAAUUUGGAAUAUUGAGGCUGCAGAUAAGAUCAGCAGUUCUUUGUGCUCUGUGUUAAUCGAUGCAUAAUUUGAUAAGAUUUGAAUCAAAAUUCAAGGACAGAGUUAACCAUAUUUUUAGUAUUUAUCGAAAUUUGUGUGUGUUUCAUCACACAUGAGAUAGGCAAUGACUGAG